rnacentral:tRNA from 1 species
GCCCGAGUGGCGGAAUGGUAGACGCGCUCGACUCAAAAUCGAGUCUCGUAAGGGGUGGGAGUUCAAGUCUCCCCUCGGGCACCA